GACGAACGCUGGCGGCGUGCCUAAUACAUGCAAGUAGAACGCACAGUUUAUACCGUAGCUUGCUACACCAUAGACUGUGAGUUGCGAACGGGUGAGUAACGCGUAGGUAACCUGCCUGGUAGCGGGGGAUAACUAUUGGAAACGAUAGCUAAUACCGCAUAAUAUUGAUUAUUGCAUGAUAAUUGAUUGAAAGAUGCUAUUGCAUCACUACCAGAUGGACCUGCGUUGUAUUAGUUAGUAGGUGAGGUAACGGCUCACCUAGGCGACGAUACAUAGCCGACCUGAGAGGGUGAUCGGCCACACUGGGACUGAGACACGGCCCAGACUCCUACGGGAGGCAGCAGUAGGGAAUCUUCGGCAAUGGACGAAAGUCUGACCGAGCAACGCCGCGUGAGUGAAGAAGGUUUUCGGAUCGUAAAGCUCUGUUGUAAGAGAAGAACGGGUGUGAGAGUGGAAAGUUCACACUGUGACGGUAUCUUACCAGAAAGGGACGGCUAACUACGUG
rnacentral:rRNA from 1 species